GAUCCUGGCUCAGGAUGAACGCUGGCGGCGUGCUUAACACAUGCAAGUCGAACGGGAAUUACUUUAUUGAAACUUCGGUCGAUUUAAUUUAAUUCUAGUGGCGGACGGGUGGGUAACGCGUGGGUAACCUGCCUUAUACAGGGGGAUAACAGUCAGAAAUGGCUGCUAAUACCGCAUAAGCGCACAGAGCUGCAUGGCUCAGUGUGAAAAACUCCGGUGGUAUAAGAUGGACCCGCGUUGGAUUAGCUGGG
rnacentral:rRNA from 1 species